rnacentral:rRNA from 1 species
UGAGCAAUCUGCCUAGAUGUGGGGGAUAGCCGGCCCAACGGCCGGGUAAUACCGCAUACGCUCUCCUGGUGGCAUCACCGGGUGAGGAAACUUUCGAGGCGUCUAGAGGAGCUCGCGGCCUAUCAGCUAGUUGGUGAGGUAAUGGCUCACCAAGGCUUUGACGGGUAGCUGGUCUGAGAGGAUGGCCAGCCACAUUGGGACUGAGAUACGGCCCAGACUCCUACGG